rnacentral:misc_RNA from 1 species
CGCACAUUGCGCCCCUUGGUAUUCCAUGGGGCAUGCCUGUUCGAGCGUCAUCUACACCCUCAAGCUCUGCUUGGUGUUGGGCGUCUGUCCCGCCUCUGCGCGCGGACUCGCCCCAAACUCAUUGGCAGUGGUCCUUGCCUCUCGCGCAGCACAUUGCGCUUCUCGAGGUGUACGGUCCGCAUCCACCAAGCAACACAACCUUUGACCUCGGAUCAGGUAGGGAUACCCGCUGAACUUAA